rnacentral:lncRNA from 1 species
GAAACUCCAUCUCAAAAAAAAAAAAAAAAAAAAAUUCACCAGAAGGAAAGUGCUUACCUAUUUGAACAACUCUGUACGGGUCUAUACAGUAUUCCAAGGCUCUUCAAUAAGCACAUGGUGAUGACCCAGGUCAGUCGUGGCAAGGUUGGGGAAUUAGAACAAACCUCUGUGGCAAACACAGAUUAUAGCUUGAAGUGAGCAUCACGGAUUUCUACAACAAACACUCUGACAAAUAUUUCCUGUGAUAAACAUCCACGUUCUCGAGGUGGGACAAUUAACCCAAACUUUCCAAAUUACAUAAAAACUUUUGCUCUAUCUAAUUAAGCUGAUAAAUUCAUUAUUUUAAAUGACAACAUACAAAAGAAGUAUAGAUUUUUACUUAAAACGUAUUGGAUAUGUGGGUAUUCUCUUGUCUUUCUAAGCAAAUGCUAAUAUCAGUUCAGUGCUUAACAAUGUCAGCAGCAACUGGGCCCUCUAAGUCUCCUGCUACUGAAGUUUGAGGGAUCAAGCCUCACCGUAAUUUUGACAAAGACUAAAUUCAAGAUGUCUGAGGCUUACAAUUUUCUUAUUCUACUUAAUGAGGUAGAGAAGUUCAUUUGGAAUUGAGCACUCCAUUAGACUGUUUCAGCUAAAUUUCAGGUGGCAUUUUCUAACAAUAAGAGCUGUUGAUGCUUUGGAAGGCAACAGGUUUGCUUCACUGGAAGUGAUGAUGGCCUUCCAGAAAGGGUGAGGCAAGGUUUUCUAAGAUCUCAUCCAACUAAAUGAUUCAGAAAGCGCCAGCCUGGGGAUUCCAGGUGCUUGUGACUCGGGGAUCUUUCUGCCAUCCCACCUCACCUGUUAGUCACCUUUUGAAAUUGGGUAUGAUUGAAAUGGAGUUUAGGGAAUGCUGUAAUAAUAUAUCUCUUGCUUGCCUAAUUCACAGAAACGUGCACAGGCAAACUGUGAUGCUAAGUGGGGGCUUUGAUCCUUUGAUGCCGGGCCCUCCUCCCACCCGGAGCCAUACCUAUUUCUCCCUUGCCCGUUCUCCUGCCUCUGCGUUCAGAUGUGCUUCAGGCCUGAGACAGGAGGAACCUAUCAAUGAAGGAGGAAAUGUUCCCCAGCUCCUCAAACACGAGGCCUCCUUCUGCAACUCAACUUUCUGCUCCCAGGACAGGAUAAUCUGAAGACCCCACCGCUUCACCUCAUCUGAAGACUCAGUUAAAGAGGAGCGGGCAGGCAGCUGGGGGAUUCAUUCUCUGGGAGUGGGAGCAGAAGGGAGCCCCUUGUCUUGUUUUUGUUCCUUCCCAGUUGACCCACAGCUGGAGUGCGGGCUGGGCAAGUAGGUGCUGGGCAACUUCUGGGGAGACUCAGGCCUCCUUAUUGGCCAUCACAAAGCCCCAGAGAAAAAGAUGCUUCCAAAAACUGCAAGAUAAGAGGAACAGGUAAAGGUCAUGGGAGGAUUAAGUAGAGCACAGCAGGCUGCUUCACGAACCCUCUGUGGCCUUCCCCAGGUGGGCCAGCAUGGCAGCUGCUAACAUUGAGUCUAGGCCAUCAGGCAAGGUGAAUUAGGGACAGUACCAGUGGGGAAAGUACCUCGGUGUAGCCCAUGCACUGUCUGCCACCCACCCAUGAAGUUCAACCUCUUCUAGUGCUCUUUUCUGUUUUCAUGGUCCUGGAGUGACUUGACCUCAUUUAGUCAUUCUAUGAUUAUCCCAUUUACAGGCAAGGAGCAUUUUUAUUGUUGUUAAUGCUCUUAACUCUAGCAAGCUAUGAAUUUAGGACGUGUCUGUGCCCUUUGGCAAACUUACUGUCUCCUUAGGAAUUUUGUGCCCGAUUUCUUUUGCUCUUCCAGACUGCUGCCCAUGCUCCUCUGCCCUGCCGAGCACUCUGGGAGAUGGACCUGGUUGGACACUAGAGCUCCACCCUGCAGCUUCCAGGUGGGCUCAGUAGAUGGAGAUCCUGGAGGAGACUGUAGAGCAGCUGCUGGCACAGUUGUCCUGGAGCUACCUGGGCCCAGAUGCCCCAGCUCUCUCCAUGCAGACCAUUCUACCUACCUCUCCUCUCAUACUGGGCUCUCCGUGUAGCAUGUGUUUUCUCCUGGGACCCUGAAGCACACAUCCAUUCUACUCAUGUAAAACAGACAGCUGCAUAAGAGAAAAUAAUAUAUUCACGUGUACAGCUGUUGGCAAGAAGUCUUCAGAGAUGGAGAAACCGAUGAAGAAUCUUGCUGCAAGAUCCCAACCUAUGCCAAGGGCCACUGCGAGAAGCCAGCAUGGACACGAAAUUCACACCCAGGGCAGCUCCUGUGUCUUCUGAGCCUUCUCAUGAGGGCUGCAAGCACAGUGGUCUGGUACUGCCUGCCUGUAAUGUUUUCUUUUAGAAUAGACCCUGUGUGUAGAUGAAAGAGCAUUCGACAUCAUUACUACGUGGGAUGCUGAGAACCAGGUGUUUUCUUCUCUGGGCAUAAGCUCCUGAGGCUCCCGAAAGUCUCAUCCUCCUGGGCCGAGGAUGCUGAAGGGAGCAGUGGGAUGGAAGGCGGGCCCAGAAAGCACACGGGCAGGCAGAAUCUGCUCUGCCCAGCUCCAGUGUCUUGUCUUUACUGUGCUCACCGUAUGUUUUCAGAAAGACAGGCCAAGAACAAAAGUGGGAGCCACCUAAAUGUCCAACCAUGAUGGUCCAUGAACACAGUGGAAUGUGCAAGAUAAUUGUGAAAAUUGUGCGGAAGUAUGGGGAACUGCUUAGGAUACACAACUCAUGUCUGUCUUGUGCACUGCUGUGUUCCUGGCACCAUGGGGGAGCGUGGUGCAGAGCAAGUUUCCUCAGAUGGCCCUUUGUGGAUGGACUACAGGAGCAGAGAUGUGCAAGAAGCAAGUUUCAGAAGGAAUUCAAACCAAAAUGUAGAGUUUGAAGGCAACAGUGACCUUUGCAAUCAUACCUCCCUGUUAUUCAGUAACAAAGCCACCACCAUGUAUCAAGCACCCACAGGCCACACCUGUCUUCUGGACGAUUUUCGGGGCAUCAUAUUUCAAUGUUCUGUCCAUUUCCAGGCACAAAGUGCUUUCACUCACAUUCGGUCCUUGCUGCAACUGCAAGCCACUGAAGACAGGUGUGUCUGAUCCCAACGUGGAGCCCACAGUAACAGCAAGCAGCGACUGUUGCUUGUGCAGGAGGCCCUGUGUGCCACAUGUUGCUCUUCACUACUGAUCAGGGCUGUUUACGUGGGUCCCAUCACAGCUGCUCUGUGACUAGGGAACUUGACGUCUCCAUUUUUCAACUGAAAACACAGAAGUACAAAGGGGUUCACCACCUUGUCCACGGUUGCCCUGCUUCUAACUGGUCAUGUUGGAAUAAAAACAAGCAACUGUCAUCCGGGAUAUUAACCACGCAGGCUGUGGUGUUGCAAAGCAGGGGAGCACGGAGCAGGGAGCAUACCACCCUGCUGAGAUCAGCUCACUCACAAGUGGCAGGGCUAGGGCUGCAGUGCAGCUCACUUACGGGCACUGUGUAAGCCUGAAAGCAAAGUCCACAUCCAAAGGUCGUAGUGGCCCCAAAACAGCUUCCUGACCUGCUUCUGUGGUCCCAGACCUCUUGCUGCUGAGGUACCUUAGCUUUCCAAUUACUCUUGCCAAUUCUGCCUGCCCAGUACUGCUAAAAGGCCACUUCCCUCCGUCCCAUGGCCUCAAACACACUUCAGAGAGAAUUUCUGGGCACUUUCAGAAGGCUGGUCACUACAGCACAAAAGAAGUCAAAGUUAUCGCGUUAGUGCUCCCAAAUCUGAGGCACAGUUUGGAGAUGGGGGCUCUGAGUCAAGGGGCAGGCUGGGGACUGUUCCGGUGCCUGUGACUAUGGGACUGAGUCAGUCACAGCCCCUCUCAUUUUCACCAGUGAAGGACAUAAUGUAUACAGUGUUGCAUUUCCAAGACAAAGUGCCUUAAAUUGGCUUAGGUCAGCAGACUACAGAAGAAACAGGAUAUUCGAGGCCCCUGCUUGGAUAGCUGAUGCCUGCUUGUAGGCCUCCCCCUUUCCCCGCUUACCCCCCAUUAGUUGCCUUCACCAGAACCGAAGAAGUUUAGUCUAAAAUGAAAGCUUACUACUAGCCUGCAAAAUAGCUCCCUUUGUCUGUUCUUAUCAGCCAGCCCAGCUACUUAGGUCGUAAGUGAAAUACUUGAAGAGCCCCUGAGCUGACUAGGAUUGCAAUGCAUUGUGGGCUGUGACAAAAUGCAGCAAGACAACCCUAAAAACAAACAAACAAACAAAAACACCUAAAGCCCCUGCCUAACAAUCAAUAGGUGACGUCCAGGAAGGUUGUGACCCCAUAGUACUCAGCCUGUGGGAAACUGGGGGAGGAGCCUGCACACUAGUGGACAAAUUGCUUGUUGAAACUGCUGGGUGUGCCUGUCCGUCAGACACCCGAUUUUGCAAGACUGACUGUUUAUUAAAAAUCUCACUUUCGCUGUU